rnacentral:rRNA from 1 species
UACAGAGGGUGCAAGCGUUAAUCGGAAUUACUGGGCGUAAAGGGUGCGUAGGUGGUUUUGUAAGUCAGAUGUGAAAUUCCUGGGCUUAACCUGGGGACUGCGUCUGAUACUGCGAAGCUAGAGUACUGUAGAGGAAAGUGGAAUUUCCGGUGUAGCAGUGAAAUGCGUAGAUAUCGGAAGGAACAUCAGUGGCGAAGGCGACUUUCUGGACAGAUACUGACACUGAGGCACGAAAGCGUGGGGAGCAAACAGG